UAUUGGCUAAGAAUAUUCAGGGUCAAGAUUCAAACUCAGUCGGCCGAGUUUUGUUUUGUGCAAGACAUUGUGCUUCACCCACAGUGACAACCCCUUUCCUGGCCUUUAAGGAUUUAUUUACUUUUUGUUCUCUUCCAGCCUCCAUUUCCCCACACUGGAAGGAGGAGGUCGAAGAGGUUGCAGGUAGUUCCUUCCCUAGAAGGCUAGAAGGCUGGAAGGCUAGGGAGUUUUGACCUGGUUUAACCCGGAAUUCACACAGCAGGUGCUGGAGAUCUGCUGGCCUUGUGUGGCUUCUUUGAAUGGACUCACUCCAGGGCCAGACCCCCGGAGGGCUCUCUACCAAGGUGCUACAAGUGUUUGCAGGGAAGGCUCGACUUGGUCCAUACCUGCCCUCAAGAGAUGGCCUGAGACCAGUCUGGAACCAGCAGGCAUUUUGAAGCUACCCUCAGCCACCAGAGAAGUAUCUGUGCGGAGGGUUCUUAUCCCAAAAGGAAAACAAGGCUGGCUCCACGAUUUCUGCUUGUUUGAACAAGCCACGAUAGGGACAGCUGGGGCGGGGGUGGGGACUUUGGAAAGUAAGAGUGAAGCAGAUGAGAAAAACAGCAGUAAGUGUCACAAAGAGCUGCUCAUGCCUGUCAACAGUAAGCGUCUCAUGGCCGGAGCUGUCUACUGGAUGCAGACUCACCAUAGUACUACCAGUCAGGCAAGUGGCAGACGACUAUACAGCACUGUGUCCCGAGGACACCAUUGUCCGCGGUCAGUUGCUGCCCAGAGCGGAUCUCCCAACCUCUUGCUGGAGCCCUAGGACAAAGCAGAGCUUGAAGCAACCUGCCUGCAUUUCUUGUUUCUGCCUGCGGGUGGCAAGAGCUAUGAGUUAGCAUUCUGUUGAGUUUGGGAAUCAAAAUCAAUCUGUCAAAGUCACAGCCUAGAGCUUCAGGGGGCCAGAUGUGGGCCCUGGCAGUAGUCUCGGGAUGAAGUGGGUUUACCGGGGUCUGCUGGUGAGGAUGCAAACAGAGAAUGAUCAAAACAAUACAUAUUAAAAGGAGCUUUAAUAAGAUGCAUUCACCAGCCGGCAGGUGGUAGAACAUGCCUUUGGUCCUAGCACUCCACUAUGGGGGCAGAGGAAGUCAGAUCUCUGAGUUCGAGACCAGCCUGGUUGACAGUUUCAGGACAGCCAGGGCUAUAUGGGGAAACGCAUCUCGAAAAACAAAACAAAAACAAUUGGAGAAGGUAGAAGCCAGCACCUGCACCUCAAGUGUGUAACUUGUAGCCUCUGCUGGUCACCCACACUAGGGGUCACCCCUUCCCUACAGUUACCACAGGAAGGAAGAAAAAGAUUAUCUCCAGCCCUUUCCUUUUCCUUGUGUAGGUUGUUUUUAAUUUAAUUUAUUUAUUUUGGAACAGGAUCCAUGUAGUCUGGACUGGCCUUGAACUCCUGGUCCUCGCCGCUGCGAUGGCAGGUCUGAGACGCCUUGGCGACUGAUAUUCCACCGCCUUCGGUGCUUCUGCGCCUGACCUUUGGAGGCCUUACCGACCAGCUAAGGCAAGCCUCACAGCCAAUUUCAUUAAGUCGUCUGCUCACAGAGUGACCUGCGCUAGCAGGGUCAGUCCCUUGAGCCUUGUCUCCUCCCCUUAUGCCGAAUACAGGCCUCACAAGCCUUCA